CUACGGGUCGCUGCAGUGAGGAAUAUUGGGCAAUGGAGGCAACUCUGACCCAGCCAUGCCGCGUGCAGGAAGACGGCCCUCUGGGUUGUAAACUACUUUUGUUUGGGAAUAAACCCUUCUACGUGUAGAAGGCUGAAGGUACCUUACGAAUAAGGAUCGGCUAACUCCGUGCCAGCAGCCGCGGUAAGACGGAGGAUCCAAGCGUUAUCCGGAUUUAUUGGGUUUAAAGGGUCCGUAGGCGGAUCUUUAAGUCAGUGGUGAAAGCCCACAGCUCAACUGUGGAACUGCCAUUGAUACUGGGAUCUUGAGUGUAGUAGAAGUAGGCGGAAUAGGGCAUGUAGCGGUGAAAUGCAUAGAUAUGCCCUAGAACACCGAUUGCGAAGGCAGCUUACUAUGUUACAACUGACGCUGAGGGACGAAAGCGUGGGGAGCAAACAGGAUUAGAUACCCGAGUAGUC
rnacentral:rRNA from 1 species